AGUCGGGUUUAUGCAAAAUAUUACGAAGGGUAUAGGUAGUUACAACACAUAUUGGGUGACAUUGGAAAUAUGGUUUAAAUUUUCUAGAGGCACUUAUUAAAGCACGCGGUAAUCUCUCUAAGUGUGGGUAUCGGGUAUCGGCCUCACCUAAGGUCCGUCUAACAUAGUAAACAGGAAAUUGCAUACCUUUCUCUUCUCGAAACAGGACCCUAUUUAUCGCUAUUUUCAAGAUCGCCAAGUAUAAGUAGAGUUGCCUGUACGCAUUCGGGGUGAAGCAGUGGAGGACUUGACAUGUAUCGUUUUAGUUAUUCUAAGGCUUGUUGGCAUUCCGGUGUCCAUGUGAAAUUUCUCUUUUUCUUAAGCAGUGAGAAGAACCAGUGACUUCUAUUUGAGGACCUCGAUUAAAAUCGGAUAACAAUUAAACUUAUAAGUGGUUUUAAGGAUACGUAAAUUUACCUAGUACCAAUUGAUAAAUAUGAUGAUUAAUAAUAGAAAUAAACAACAAAGUAAAGCAAACCAGUAUAGAAAUGCGAUUCAGCUCUCGAGCUAGGUCGCCCUCGAAUUGAGUGAGAGUAGGGUUAUGAAAUAAACUGAUGGACAAGAGAGUGUAAGAGAAAAAGAGUAUUGUAUUGCUUUGACAUGCGUCAAUAUAAGAUGAUUACAAAUGGUUAAGACCCUUUUUAUAUAGUAGAAGAAUUCUAUUUACGGUAUGGAUCUAAUUACAGAAGGAAAUCUCAUGAUUAGCUAAACAACCGCCCUUGAUUUGAUCUGUUCCGAGAUUUCUGCCAUGAUCUUCGACCAGUCAUGGAUAUCUCGCCUUUUCUUUGUCAUGCUAUCUUCGGUCUUGCUCGAUGUCUAUCCCGUUCGACCUCGAUCAUUACCGAUCUCGAUCUCAACAAGUACCUCAAAUCCCGAACUCGUUACUUUAUCCUCAUGUAUCGGUCUGAUAUGUUAUGGGGCUGAUCCUCGAUCCAUCCCUUGGUCUCGGUUAAUCAGUGAAAUCGGGUGGGCCUAAUUUUAACCGUAUACAGAUAGUCCCCUCAUUUUUUGGAAUGUAAUGAUAAGAAACGAAUUGUAUUUUCGAACUGGACCUUGGUUCACCAUUACGUAAGCAUUGUGACGUAGGCAGCAGAGGUGACCAUAACGGUCAUAUCGGAUCAAUUUCCUAGGCAAUUAAGGUGCGUCAGUUGUCGGUCGACCACUAGCAACUUUGAACUAUCGCUGUGAAACCCAUAAAUAGGCCUCUUUUCGACUCUUUCAAACUUUACUUUAAUCUCUUCUGCUAUAAUCUUCAAAGCUCUUUGCAUUCUUCAAGUUCUACUGCAAAUCUUCAAGUUUCACUGCUAGCCUCUUCUGAAAACACCAGAUAUCCUAACCCUUGUUCUUCCUCGUUCUAAAAAAUGGAUAAGACCUCUAAAACUAUCCCUCACAAAAAAACCGCCUCUUCAUCAAAAUUCGCCGCCGGCGCCGCCACUGCGGUGGAACAGCCCCUUGCGGACUUCGUUUCGAUGAAGUGUGCCACUACUACUGAUUUCAAGGUGGAGAACACAUCCUCGACACAAGACCGAUGUGAAGCCGUGUCGAGGUACAUGUGUACGAUCACCGAACGUCUCCUCGAGAAGGUGAAAAAGGAGUGCAACUGGGUAGACAAUGAUGUAGUAGUGCCCAGUCCAGAAGAAUCCAUCACAACUUACAAAGAGGGGUAUCUGAGUGUCUAUACCUCCCCUUCACGACAAGCCCCCUAGAUUCCAUCAUCGUUGCCUUUGGCAAGAGAUGCAAUGUCACUUUGGGCCAAAUCCACCCGUCGUUUUGGAGGAUCGUGAUCCUCCUCCGAUUCUUAAAGCAAGAUCGAGGGGCAUCCUUUUACCCUCAAUUACUUCAUCCGUCUCUACGACCCCCGGCGUUAUCGUUGAGGCAUGAUCAAGCUUUAUCGCCUAGCCGCUAAACCACCGUUCUCGAGCAUAGAUGAGACUUGAGGCCGAGGUUGGAUGGGCAGGUUUGUCCGAAUAAAGACUUCGGAUUUAAUCUCUGCCGCAGAUAUGUCGCACCCUGAAAAGUGGAAUAUGAAACCUAUGGCCGUUGUGCCAGAAGUGAUCCCCGACCUGAGGCAAUGGGUCGAGGGAUUGGUGUCACAAAAAAAUUAUUCUGAGUGUGCUUGGAUGGAGUUGUCAAAGCGCCGAUGGGAGGCCCGUAACCAUGGCCUUAAGAAGGACGUGCCAAUGAGGCCCCCCUCUGCUGAAUAAGAGGCACUCCUUUCCCCGUGUGCCCCGAAGCAGGGCAAAGAGAAGAAAAGAAUGGAGGCUCUGAGUUCCCCAAGCCCAGAAAAGAAAAGGACGGUCGGGAAGCCCCGUAAUCAUAAGGGGGAUGUUAUCCAUGUAACUCUGGAAUCGGCCCAAUAGAUAAUGGGCGAGACCGAAGACAAAGACGAAGAAGAAGAAAGCUCUGGGUUGGUGGCUCGUGUGCGAGCUGGCACCGAGGUUUAAAGUAUCGUUGGACAGGCAAAAACCGAAGCUGCUUUGCCCCGGCCUAACAAGCCCGAGCUAGAAAGAGUUGAAGAUGCCUCACCUCGAGGUGGGGGGGCCACCGAGGAGGCGGUCAAGGCUGGUGUAGAAACCAAGCUCGAGGCUCCCGGGAAUGAAGAUGAUGCGUCUAAAUACCCACUUGGGGCAAUAGUGAUCGGGGACUACUCCUCAUUCCCUCCAGUUUCGGAUUCGAUGAUACGCGACACUCAGGCUGCAGAUACUUCUCACGGAGAGGGGGCCUACGAAGAUGAAGAUUUUUUUCGCGGCUAUUUUGCUCAUGUGGAAGAUAUCACUGGUUUGGGUGAUUUGGACGUACUAAGGAAGAGCUCAAAUGAGGCUUCCUCGAGCUAUACACUGACCAACCAAUUUCCGCCCCCCAGUGUUUACCCCGAUAGUAAGAAGCCUCUUAUUAUCUCGAUCCCAGAAGAUACUUAAGUUUUCUCUGCCCUCAUAGGGGUGGCGAGCUAUCUCCAAUACAGUGUUUGUUCAAUGAGGCCCAGCAUGCUCUAAAUCGGCUUCAGUACUGCAUCAUGAGGCCUUUCUCCCAAUCCGAGAGGAAUGCAAGGUCGAACUCUAGUGUCUCAUUGAGAAAUGCAAUACCUAAAAUCUUCUCACUGAGAAGCUUCGGGUAGACAUAGUGGAGGAUCGAAAUGCGCAUGAAGAGAUGGUCGAGCAGGUUCGACAGAGGCUCGAACAGAUCAAGGGCCUCCAAGGGAAAAUAGAUAAAGUGCGAGCCGAAGCCAAACAUUUCAAAGGAUGUAUGGAUAUUUUGGUUGCACAAAAGGAAACCAUUCAAGCUGAGCUGAAUUCGGCCAAGUCACAGCUUUGAUAUGCAAGAGAGAAUUCCUUGGUUGAAGCGAAGAAGGUUGAGGAAAUCGAGUCCAAUUUAGCCAGUUUAACUAAAGAGCUUGAGGUUGCCAGAUCUGAAGCGGCCAAGACAAAUACUAAGGCCAGGCUACUGCGGCUUAAUGCAAAGUCGAUGCCGAAGCCACCCCCGAGCAAUCCAAGGGUAUGGUGGAUAAUUCGAAGUGGCAGUCCCGAAUGGAGGCUCUCGGGGGGUAAUUGCCCAAAGUUUUGACAUAGCUGGCGAACUCGAGAUCGCCAAGGCUUGGAAGCAAAGGCUUGGAAGCUAGCAUUUCCCGACGAGGAUUCCAAGAAUGUGGGCGGAUCUGGUGGAGAAGACCUCGAGGGUGAAGAAGCUUCCUCUGAUAAUGAUCGUGCUGAUUAGGCCUAGUAAUUUUUGUUUUUUAUUUAAGGCUGAUCGGUCUUUGUAAAUAAUGUUUGAUUGGUCCAUGUGGCCCUUGUAAGAAAAAUUUUAAUAUAUAAAAACUUUUUCCUUU